rnacentral:rRNA from 1 species
UACGUAGGGUGCGAGCGUUAAUCGGAAUUACUGGGCGUAAAGCGUGCGCAGGCGGUUCGUUGUGUCGGCGGUGAAAGCCCCGGGCUCAACCUGGGAAUGGCAUUUGGGACUGCAAGGCUGGAGUGCGGCAGAGGAGACUGGAAUUCCUGGUGUAGCAGUGAAAUGCGUAGAUAUCAGGAGGAAUACCGAUGGCGAAGGCAGGUCUCUGGGCUGACACUGACGCUCAUGCACGAAAGCGUGGGGAGCAAACAGG